CUCCUCUCACCCAAUGACCACUGGAGAUAAGCACCAGUCCCUGCCUGCACGGAUAAGCAGGUAGAGGCACUGGACGGAUGGAUAAAAUAAAGUGCAAGAUGUACAAAAAAAACAAUAUGCCACAGCCGCCCUGGGACAGACUGACAGAAGUGAGGCUGCCAUACAAUCGGCGUCACAGAGCCCUCUGACCACCAUCAGCAGUGGACCUGUUUUAGAUCCAUAGACUGCCUCCUCCUAAGCAAAAAAUAAGGGCGCAGGAGCCGGGUCCCGAGUUCCUGACAGGUGCACAUCGUUGCCUCAUCAGCUGGAGGACUAUAUGAGGGUGGCUCGCCAGCACUUCUACGCCUGAGUGCUUUGACCACUGCGGCCUGUAAACUGCUGAGCUCCACGCUGGAGAUCCUCUUGGAACCACCUACAACAAAUCUGGAUUUUUCCCCUGGAUCACGUUUGCCGGGCAGCCGCUCUUGUGUACCCUCCAGUCUAAUCGAGUUCGACCUGCCCGCUCUCCCACGAGACCCCUCUGGACCAUCAGACCACAUUGCCUUCCUGCGCAGCAGUACAGCCCCAGACUCGCUAUCUCUCUCCCCCCGGAUGGAUCCA